GCCACCAUCCUCCAAAGGUCUAUGUAUGCUGUGCCCCUGACAAUACUGCCCUAGGUGGGGCACCGGCCAGGAGCCAGGGUUGACCUCUACAAGAAUCAGAAUCAUAGAACUGGGAAGAAUGUGGAAGCCACAGUCCAGCUUCACCCAUUACCAGAACCUCAUGGACAGUUUGCAGAGACGCAGUCUGAGAAAGUGAGAUUUCGUUUGAUUGUUGGUGGUGUUUUUUUGGUUUUGUUUUAUUUUUGCCACAUAUGGCUUUACUUAUUGUCUAUUUUGAAAAUGAAGUAGGUAGGGCUGUUCCAUUCAUUUAGCUACACAAUGGGUCAGAAAUAGGACUUGACCUAGCCCCAGAACAACAGCCUGAAGAAAACCAGGCAGAAAGAGGCCCCCCUCCUGCUCUGAGUUUUCACUCCAUUUUCAUGAGGCAGAUGCAGCCAGCCUGGAAGCAAUUUUCCGUGUGUUCUCACAAG
rnacentral:lncRNA from 1 species